GUUUAUCAGCUCAUCAUUACUAGUGGUGGCAAGAGUAGUCAUUUUUUCUGUUUCAAAUUGUUUCCCAAAGAUCUGAUGCGAAUAAGGUAUAGAGUCCUAAAUAAAAAUGUGCCUGAUCCAAAUAGGAAGCAAUAUGCAGGAUAACCUAGGGAAAAAAAAAAAAAAAAAAGUGGAUUCACUGUAUUCCUGGUCAGUUCCAUGUGGGAAUAAACAGAUCAACGUGGAGUAUUUUUAUAGGUACCUCUUUAAUGAUGAAAUGGGCAUGCUAAUUGUGAACUAUGUGGUAAGAAGGUCCUUCUAAAAUAUGCAGUAACUUAUUUACUGGAAUUUAACAGGCCGUGUACUUCAAAGAUUCUUUGCCUCUAAUCACAUGCACAAACCCUGCAAAUAUUGCCAGCUCAAGAUUCGGCACAGUAGCAGCAGCGCUGAAGCAGCCCCCACCAUUAGGCGAGGUACAGAAUUGGGCUGGUGACCUGCGAUGGGUCAAGAGAACUCGCUUACCAGGAUUUGCUCACGGUUAUGCUUCUGGCAACUGACGUUUCCAUUUUACUCAAAACUUCUGCCUCUGUGUCAUCAGACAAUGGCCCAUGAGUGGUGGCAGAGCAAACUGAGCCUUCAUUCUCAAGUUUGAAGAGCAAAAAUUAUUUACAUGACUACAUUGCAGAACCUGCUGUUCAAAGUUCACUCCCUGUUACCCAUUGUUUUAAACCAUUAAGUUUUCCAAAAGCUCUAUACAGAAAAGGGAUAUUAAUUUAGAGCGGAAAAGAUUUAUUGGUCUUGUUUUGUUUUAGUUUUUGUUUCUUAUUGAAUGAUCUGAUUUCUGUCCCACCAGAGGAAUAUCAAAGAUGGGAUGUUUCUAUCAUUGCUUACAAUGAAGGAUUGCUUAAAGGGACUGACAGAGAUUGUAAAAUAAAUCUGACUCUCCUUGAGAUUUUUAUAAUCUA
rnacentral:lncRNA from 1 species